UACGUAGGUGGCGAGCGUUGUCCGGAUUUAUUGGGCGUAAAGCGAGCGCAGGUGGUUUAUUAAGUCUGGCGUAAAAGGCAGUGGCUCAACCAUUGUAUGCAUUGGAAACUGGUAGACUUGAGUGCAGGAGAGGAGAGUGGAAUUCCAUGUGUAGCGGUGAAAUGCGUAGAUAUAUGGAGGAACACCGGUGGCGAAAGCGGCUCUCUGGCCUGUAACUGACACUGAGGCUCGAAAGCGUGGGGAGCAAACAGG
rnacentral:rRNA from 1 species